AUACGGAGGACGCGAGCGUUAUCCGGAUUCAUUGGGUUUAAAGGGUGCGCAGGCGGCCGUGCAAGUCAGCGGUGAAAGCCCGGGGCUCAACCCCGGAAGUGCCGUUGAUACUGCAUGGCUGGAAUGCGGUCGAGGCGGGCGGAACGGGGCGUGUAGCGGGGAAAAGCGUAGAUAUGCCACAGAACGCCGAUAGCGGAGGCAGCUCGCCAGGCCUGCAUUGACGCUCGGGCACGAAAGCGUGGGGAUCGAACAGGAUUAGAUACCCUGGUAGUCCACGCCGUAAACGAUGGGCGCUCGUCGUCGGCGGCAGACAGUCGGCGGCCAAGCGAAAGCGAUAAGCGCCCCACCUGGGGAGUACGGUCGCAAGGCUGAAACUCAAAUGAAUUGACGGGG
rnacentral:rRNA from 1 species